CCAGUUGAUAGGAGAAGAGAGGGAGGAAACAACUUAAUUGCUUUAGACUUUAGUUCAGCUGGAGUUGGGAGGAAAGAGCCAGUGUCUCUUUUUUGGAAUACAGCGAGUUCUUGCUGAGGACAGAUCCUCUGCACAGUUGGUGGAGGAUCUGGCUUGGAAAGAGGAGUCUCAGUCUGAGCUCAGCGCAUGUAACGGACAUGGCAUGAGCUGAGGGAGCCUGUGGGGGCAAGAGAAAUGUUCUUCUCCAGUCAUCUAAUCUCUGUCAGCAAAGAGGCGAUGCCCGGUGGCGGCGGCCGGGCCCUGCUGGCGUUGGGGCUGUUGGCACUGGGCUGCGCCGC